ensembl:lncRNA
UAUUCGUGAUGGAGCGGUGCUGGAGGGAGUGAAAACCACAACGCUUCGACUUUUAAAAAAUCCGCUCCUCUUCAGUCAGAAUCACUCAGCUCCGCUCGGCAGUGUAUCUCAAACGCGCGGGGGAGGGUUGAGCCAUAUCAUUCUCAAAACAUAACAUAUAUAUUUUAUUCCAAUUUUCGUUUUUGUGUUUCAGAGGAAAAAUCUGUGUUAAGGCAUCUCUCCAUUACAGACCGUUCUGAAAGAAGAAUUUAUGCAAACGCAUAUAAAAUGCUUUAAAAACUUUAACAGAGAUGUCUAGAGGGUAUUUAAUAGAUCUUCCUCCCACGUAAGAUUUUUCUAGUUACUAGUCAUUCAUUUGUCAUUAUUCAACUAAUCGCAAAUUUAUAUUAAAUUUACAACUAUAAUCCAGCCUUAAUAUAUUCCACGCUCAAGAACAUGCAUCAAGUUUGUCACAAAGCACAGGCAGAAGUAGCCUAAUAAGUAUGAAAAAGGAGAUAUUUCAAUUAUUUAUUAAUAAACAAAUGUUUUCUUGUCGGCUGCAAGAUGAAAUUCAGAGUGCUGUUGUAACAGAUUAAAAAUCGAUUAAAUUGCAAAUUUAGUUUCCCAGCCACACCAACACAGAGAGAAAGACACAAGAAAUCUCAAAUGGCGUUUUAUUACAUUAAAAGCUAAGGUUUAAAAAACAAAUAUCCAAAUCACAAUCUCCUCCUCAACCCAGCGGAGACAAUAAAACCAUAACUUGUCCAAUAUUCUGCCCAGGGUAAUACCAAAGUCCGGUCUGAAAUCAGCCCAGUGAUUCCCCUGCCACUGGUAAAAAAAAAAAUGUCUGUUUCAGUUGGAUCUCAAAUGACCGGCUUCAACCGAAUCCAGGACCAGGAUCUCCACAGCGCCGCCCCACGUCUGUCAGUGGGAAAUCGGAAAAGUCAUUGGGUAGUUUGCACGUAGCCGACAACUGCCAAAACUCAGAUGAAUGGAAUAACAACUUUCCUUUCCUAUACUUCAAAUGGACACAUCAGCAAUACUAUCGUGUCUGCCACUCUGCCGUCGGUUCCCCCGAAUCUGUCACCUUUACAGAGAUGAACAACUA